rnacentral:rRNA from 1 species
AUUGAACGCUGGCGGAAUGCUUUACACAUGCAAGUCGAACGGCAGCACGGGGGCAACCCUGGUGGCGAGUGGCGAACGGGUGAGUAAUACAUCGGAACGUGCCCAGUCGUGGGGGAUAACGUAGCGAAAGCUACGCUAAUACCGCAUACGAUCUACGGAUGAAAGCGGGGGAUCGCAAGACCUCGCGCGAUUGGAGCGGCCGAUGGCAGAUUAGGUAGUUGGUGGGGUAAAGGCUCACCAAGCCUUCGAUCUGUAGCUGGUCUGAGAGGACGACCAGCCACACUGGGACUGAGACACGGCCCAGACUCCUGCGGGAGGCAGCAGUGGGGAAUUUUGGACAAUGGGCGAAAGCCUGAUCCAGCCAUUCCGCGUGCAGGAUGAAGGCCCUCGGGUUGUAAACUGCUUUUGUACGGAACGAAACGGCCUUUUCUAAUACAGAGGGCUAAUGACGGUACCGUAAGAAUAAGCACCGGCUAACUACGUGCCAGCAGCCGCGGUAAAGUA